rnacentral:rRNA from 1 species
CUGAUGGAUGGACCCGCGGUGCAUUAGCUAGUUGGUGAGGUAACGGCUCACCAAGGCCACGAUGCAUAGCCGACCUGAGAGGGUGAUCGGCCACAUUGGGACUGAGACACGGCCCAAACUCCUACGGGAGGCAGCAGUAGGGAAUCUUCGGCAAUGGACGAAAGUCUGACCGAGCAACGCCGCGUGAGUGAAGAAGGUUUUCGGAUCGUAAAACUCUGUUGUUAGAGAAGAACAAGGAUGAGAGUAACUGUUCAUCCCUUGACGGUAUCUAACCAGAAAGCCACGGCUAACUACGUGCCAGCAGCCGCGGUAAUACGUAGGUGGCAAGCGUUGUCCGGAUUUAUUGGGCGUAAAGCGAGCGCAGGCGGUUUCUUAAGUCUGAUGUGAAAGCCCCCGGCUCAACCGGGGAGGGUCAUUGGAAACUGGGAGACUUGAGUGCAGAAGAGGAGAGUGGAAUUCCAUGUGUAGCGGUGAAAUGCGUAGAUAUAUGGAGGAACACCAGUGGCGAAGGCGGCUCUCUGGUCUGUAACUGACGCUGAGGCUCGAAAGCGUGGGGAGCAAACAGGAUUAGAUACCCUGGUAGUCCACGCCGUAAACGAUGAGUGCUAAGUGUUGGAGGGUUUCCGCCCUUCAGUGCUGCAGCUAACGCAUUAAGCACUCCGCCUGGGGAGUACGACCGCAAGGUUGAAACUCAAAGGAAUUGACGGGGGCCCGCACAAGCGGUGGAGCAUGUGGUUUAAUUCGAAGCAACGCGAAGAACCUUACCAGGUCUUGACAUCCUUUGACCACUCUAGAGAUAGAGCUUCCCCUUCGGGGGCAAAGUGACAGGUGGUGCAUGGUUGUCGUCAGCUCGUGUCGUGAGAUGUUGGGUUAAGUCCCGCAACGAGCGCAACCCUUAUUGUUAGUUGCCAUCAUUCAGUUGGGCACUCUAGCAAGACUGCCGGUGACAAACCGGAGGAAGGUGGGGAUGACGUCAAAUCAUCAUGCCCCUUAUGACCUGGGCUACACACGUGCUACAAUGGGAAGUACAACGAGUUGCGAAGUCGCGAGGCUAAGCUAAUCUCUUAAAGCUUCUCUCAGUUCGGAUUGCAGGCUGCAACUCGCCUGCAUGAAGCCGGAAUCGCUAGUAAUCGCGGAUCAGCACGCCGCGGUGAAUACGUUCCCGGGCCUUGUACACACCGCCCGUCACACCACGAGAGUUUGUAACACCCGAAGUCGGUGAGGUAACCUUUUGGAGCCAGCCGCCUAAGGUGGGAUAGAUGAUUGGGGUGAAGUCGUAACAAGGUAGCCGUAUCGGAAGGUGCGGCUGGAUCACCUCCUUU